UCAUCUUCGGGGGUAGAGCACUGUUUCGGCUAGGGGGUCAUCCCGACUUACCAACCCGAUGCAAACUACGAAUACCGAAGAAUGUUAUCACGGGAGACACACGGCGGGUGCUAACGUCCGUCGUGAAGAGGGAAACAACCCAGACCGCCAGCUAAGGUCCCAAAGUCAUGGUUAAGUGGGAAACGAUGUGGGAAGGCUCAGACAGCCAGGAUGUUGGCUUAGAAGCAGCCAUCAUUUAAAGAAAGCGUAAUAGCUCACUGGUCGAAUCGGCCUGCGCGGAAGAUGUAACGGGGCUAAACCAUGCACCGAAGCUGCGGCAGCGACACUAUGUGUUGUUGGGUAGGGGAGCGUUCUGUAAGCCUGCGAAGGUGUGCUGUGAGGCAUGCUGGAGGUAUCAGAAGUGCGAAUGCUGACAUAAGUAACGAUAAAGCGGGUGAAAAGCCCGCUCGCCGGAAGACCAAGGGUUCCUGUCCAACGUUAAUCGGGGCAGGGUGAGUCGACCCCUAAGGCGAGGCCGAAAGGCGUAGUCGAUGGGAAACAGGUUAAUAUUCCUGUACUUGGUGUUACUGCGAAGGGGGGACGGAGAAGGCUAUGUUAGCCGGGCGACGGUUGUCCCGGUUUAAGCAUGUAGGCUGAUUGUCCAGGCAAAUCCGGAUAAUCAAGGCUGAGGUGUGAUGACGAGGCACUACGGUGCUGAAGUAACAAAUGCCCUGCUUCCAGGAAAAGCCUCUAAGCAUCAGGUAACAUUAAAUCGUACCCCAAACCGACACAGGUGGUCAGGUAGAGAAUACCAAGGCGCUUGAGAGAACUCGGGUGAAGGAACUAGGCAAAAUGGUGCCGUAACUUCGGGAGAAGGCACGCUGGUGUGUAGGUGAAGCCCCUGCGGGUGGAGCUGAGACCAGUCGAAGAUACCAGCUGGCUGCAACUGUUUAUUAAAAACACAGCACUGUGCAAACACGAAAGUGGACGUAUACGGUGUGACGCCUGCCCGGUGCCGGAAGGUUAAUUGAUGGGGUUAUCCGUAAGGAGAAGCUCUUGAUCGAAGCCCCGGUAAACGGCGGCCGUAACUAUAACGGUCCUAAGGUAGCGAAAUUCCUUGUCGGGUAAGUUCCGACCUGCACGAAUGGCGUAAUGAUGGCCAGGCUGUCUCCACCCGAGACUCAGUGAAAUUGAACUCGCUGUGAAGAUGCAGUGUACCCGCGGCAAGACGGAAAGACCCCGUGAACCUUUACUAUAGCUUGACACUGAACAUUGAGCCUUGAUGUGUAGGAUAGGUGGGAGGCUUUGAAGCGUGGACGCCAGUCUGCGUGGAGCCAACCUUGAAAUACCACCCUUUAAUGUUUGAUGUUCUAACGUUGGCCCCUUACCGGGGUUGCGGACAGUGUCUGGUGGGUAGUUUGACUGGGGCGGUCUCCUCCCAAAGCGUAACGGAGGAGCACGAAGGUUAGCUAAUCCUGGUCGGACAUCAGGAGGUUAGUGCAAUGGCAUAAGCUAGCUUGACUGCGAGCGUGACGGCGCGAGCAGGUGCGAAAGCAGGUCAUAGUGAUCCGGUGGUUCUGAAUGGAAGGGCCAUCGCUCAACGGAUAAAAGGUACUCCGGGGAUAACAGGCUGAUACCGCCCAAGAGUUCAUAUCGACGGCGGUGUUUGGCACCUCGAUGUCGGCUCAUCACAUCCUGGGGCUGAAGUAGGUCCCAAGGGUAUGGCUGUUCGCCAUUUAAAGUGGUACGCGAGCUGGGUUUAGAACGUCGUGAGACAGUUCGGUCCCUAUCUGCCGUGGGCGCUGGAGAAUUGAGGGGGGCUGCUCCUAGUACGAGAGGACCGGAGUGGACGCAUCACUGGUGUUCGGGUUGUCAUGCCAAUGGCACUGCCCGGUAGCUAAAUGCGGAAGAGAUAAGUGCUGAAAGCAUCUAAGCACGAAACUUGCCCCGAGAUGAGUUCUCCCUGAGACUUUAAGUCUCCUGAAGGAACGUUGAAGACGACGACGUUGAUAGGCCGGGUGUGUAAGCGCAGCGAUGCGUUGAGCUAACCGGUACUAAUGAACCGUGAGGCUUAACCUU
rnacentral:rRNA from 1 species